AAGAAUGAGAAAGGAAAGGAGGAUUUGGAAGGGGUAAGAAGAGAAAAGAAGAAGGUGAGAGGUAUCAGUCUCUUGCGUUUGAAGGGUAUGGAAUUUGGUGGUGGUUGCUGGUGGGGAAUAGUAGUGGUUGGUGCAGCAGUGGUAAUCAUGGUUGAGUCCUGAGAGCUCUACACCAACAGCAUUGAGUCAGAGAGUUGCCAAUUGCAUACCAUUCAUAACAUGAGACUAAUGCUCAGGACUCAGGACUAUCUAUCUUCACAACACAAUAUCACUAAUUCUUCUUUCUUUUAC